rnacentral:miRNA from 1 species
GAGGUUGAAGAAAGAUGG